AUGAGUGUCCCUGGGCCGCGGUCCCCGAAUGGGCUCCCACAGGGCCACCCAACAGUCUGGAGGCCGGGGAGCCGACACCGGGUUUAAGUGACACUUCUCCAGAUGAAGGGUUAAUAGAGGACUUGCCUGUAGAAGACAAAGCUGUGGAGCAACUGGCAGAAGGAUUGCUUUCUCAUUAUUUGCCAGAUCUGCAGAGAUCGAAACAAGCCCUCCAAGAACUCACACAGAACCAAGUUGUAUUAUUAGACACACUGGAACAAGAAAUUUCAAAAUUUAAAGAAUGUCAUUCUAUGUUGGACAUUAAUGCUUUGUUCACGGAGGCUAAACACUAUCAUGCCAAACUGGUGAAUAUAAGGAAAGAGAUGCUAAUGCUUCACGAAAAAACAUCAAAGGUAAAAAAAAGAGCCCUUCAACUGCAGCAGAAGAGGCAGAAAGAAGAGUUGGAAAGGGAGCAGCAACGAGAGAAGGAAUUGGAACGAGAAAAGCAGUUAACUGCCAGACCAGCUAAAAGGACAUGAAAAGUUGUAUUUGUGUGUUUUCUUCUCCAUUCAAUAUUUGGAUUAAGCAACUUAAAUGUGUUGACUGAACUUGAGGUAGUGCCUUAUACCAUGAUUAUGGUUUCUCCAUAUCUUCAUUUCAGACAUUCAA